UUACCAGGCCUUGACAUCCAAUGAACUUUCCAGAGARGGAUUGGUGCCUUCGGGARCAUUGAGACAGGUGCUGCAUGGCUGUYGUCAGCUCGUGUCGUGAGAUGUUGGGUUAAGUCCCGUAACGAAMGCAAACCUUGUCCUUAGUUACCAGCACGUAAUGGUGGGCACUCUAAGGAGACUGCCGGUGACAAACCGGAGGAAGGUGGGGAUGACGUCAAGUCAUCAUGGCCCUUACGGCCUGGGCUACACACGUGCUACAAUGGUCGGUACAAAGGGUUGCCAAGCCGCGAGGUGGAGCUAAUCCCAUAAAACCGAUCGUAGUCCGGAUCGCAGUCUGCAACUCGWYUGRGGGAAGUCGGAAUCGCUAGUAAUCGUGAAUCAGAAUGUCACGGUGAAUACGUUCCCGGGC
rnacentral:rRNA from 1 species